UGCGGAAACCAGCAUUCAUUGGCAAAAGGAGACAUUUUGCAAAAGAAAGAAAGAAAGAAAGAAAAAAAAAAAAAACUCAGUGCAACAUCUUUUUCAAAUCCAGAGUUCUGGGGAGACAGGGGAAAGGCUGGUAAACAUCAUUACUUCGGCUUUAAGACUCAUUUGAACCGCCUCACGUACAAAAGCGCUCUGAAGGGGAAAACAAGACGUGCUCGCAGCUAACAUUACAGUCAAGUUCCAAUUUUACCUAAGGGAAAGCAGCUUUAUUAAAAGUCAUGACUGAAAUUGCAUGACAGGUGCCAAUAUUCUCCACCCUGACAGAUGGGUCAGUUUGCGAAUGCCAUUUUCUUGUCAGCAGUCCCUCGAUCGAGCUCCUUGCAUCACCAUUUGUCUCUCUUCCAGCGAGAUCACACAUGCCCGAUGUUUGCCUCCAAGCUGCGCUGCGUGGUUUGAUAUGUGGAAUCCUCACAAUGAGACUUAUUAAAAGACAGUCCAUUAUUUUUAUUUAGAGCAUUUCCAAAACAAGCGGAGCGCGCACAGAGAUAAUUUAAAAAUCGUGUGGCAGGUCAUCUCCAGGCCAGCGUGGCUCCAUUUGAAAUGCAUAAGAAAGUAGCAUCCCAUUUCGAUCCUUCCAGACACACACACACACGCAUACACACGUGCACACUUUCCAGUUCAUAACGGGCGUGAUUUGAGUGACAUUUAACCCUUGACAAAUAACCCCGACUGUGCAAAGCACUAUUUUGCUAUAAACCACAGAGCAUUUUGACAGGAAGGAUUGACUAAUCCUGCUCCCUUUUUUCUCUAAAUCUUUCUUCCUUCUCUUCCUUAUUUUUUGCUUCUUAUUUCUUUGCAUCCCUCUUCUAUUUUGUUACAGGUGGGCUUUCUCAUUGCAGCAAUAGAUAUAAAAUACUCCUGAUUGGCUGUAUUGAUGGGGCAUUUUCAUCCUCCUGGUGGUUUCAAACAAAUACAAAGAAAAAUGGUCUCUCUCCACCGUGCCUGGUUUGAACAGCAGGUAAACUCCAGCAGCCUCCUCUCCAGCCUCUGUUGGAAAAUUAUUACAGAUGAAACGAUUCCGUCAUGGAAAUGGUCACUUACAGAGCCCCCAGUGAACUGGAACUGCCCAGCGGUGACGAGCUUCAGAUCUUACCUGUACUUCCAUCUCUGACAGAACUGUUUUUCAUUUUCUUUUCAUUUUUUUUAACCAAAGAGUUUACAGGAACAAAUCCCCCUUAUUGU